rnacentral:rRNA from 1 species
GAUGGCGACCGGCGCACGGGUGAGUAACACGUAUCCAACCUGCCGAUGACUCGGGAUAGCCUUUCGAAAGAAAGAUUAAUACCCGAUGGCAUAGUUCUUCCGCAUGGUGGAACUAUUAAAGAAUUUCGGUCAUCGAUGGGAUGCGUUCCAUUAGGUUGUUGGCGGGUAACGGCCCACCAAGCCUUCGAUGGAUAGGGUUCUGAGAGGAAGGUCCCCCCACAUUGGAACUGAGACACGGUCCAAACUCCUACGGAGGCAGCAUG